AAUCAAGGUAUGACGAUGGCAGCAAAGGAUAUAAACUCAUGGUCGACAGAUCAGAAAUGCCAAGAUAUGGCAGAUGCUGGAAAAAUGCCAUGAUAACAAUGCAAAAUGGCUGCAAGAAUCUCACAGGCAAAGCCCAAAGUCGGCUAUCCUUGGCCUACCUCAACUGUUUCCUGGAAUUUCAAGGUCGAGACGUGUAUAAGUGUGACGUUGAUCAACCGUUUCAUGAAUGUACAAAAAAAAAUGCUGGAUGUGGACAGAGGUUCAUUUACAACCUUUUUCACACACACUCUAAAUAUAUGUUACUUUCUUCAGGCGCAAAUAUGGCAUGAGGAAACAGAGAACACAAUUGGUCGACUUUCUAACAGUUCGUCUCAGGUAGCAUCGAAACUAAAAGAUUCCUACAAGCUACAGAAUGAAGUACUAAAAACAACAGGAGGAAAGCAUAAAAAAUCAAGAAACGAUCAUGAACAAGGCUUCAAAUUUGAGUAAGAUCAUUUCCGCCUCGUCUGACGACAUUCGUGAGAUGUUCAAGGACUUCAAUGAGACAACACAGAAACACCGUGUACUCAUCACUCACGUGUUUGAUCGUGUUACCGAAUUAUAGUUCUUGGCUUAUGGAGGAAUUUCAAGUUUUCAGUCCAUUGUGUUCUAUAUCCUGUUGAUAAUUGGGUCGUGUCUGUUGACGUCAUCUUCUUGGACAAGCAGCGAGAGGCUCUGUUUGUUGGGACUGGUGAUAGGGAAUAUCAUUGUAGAACGGAUGGGUUGUCUUCAUGAGGCCUUGUAUUUUUAGAAAUCUACCGUUUCUAGUCUUUCAGAAUGAGGAGGAGAUGAUAUAUGGUAGUCAGCUUCUAGUUCGAUUGGGUUCGGUCCUUAUUGGGUUCAUCAUCCUCCUUGGCUUCUCCGUUUUCUUCAAGGACCCGAACACCAUCAACAACCAACCUCUGGAGGAGAUCCGGAAAGAGAUCUCAUAUAUCAGGGGCUGUCUCAGAAUAUCAGAAUCAAGCAGCAACACUCAACACAUGUCAACCCAGGGUGAAGAGGGAGUCGAAGCUGACUCUGGUAUCACACUGGACAAAGCAAACGAAACAGACUGAUCCCAAGAAGCCACACACAGACAUAUAUGCACAUCAUUAAAUUCACCAGCGAAGGCAUCCCCGUCAUCAACUUCAGCAAAGGCAUCCAAUUCUGAAGCACCAAGAUACCAUCUUCGACCUCGAAACCCGUCCCCGCCAGUCCAAGCCCAGUGCUCAGUGGGGAAUCUCUAUUUAAAACUUCUCCAAGAUUGUCGCCAUUUUGAACAAAACACAAAGAAAAAUGGCAUUCUUGCUCGAGCUGUUUUAGCGGAAAAGAAUUGACUGAUUCAGUAGCCGAUAGACUUUCAUUAAUCAUUUAAAGGAUUAAUUAUGUUGUGUUGUGAUUUGCUUUCUGGAAAGUCAACAGGUCGUAUUUGUAAGAAACAGAGAGAUCUUGCAAAGUUUUUGAAAAUGAAUGGUUUAAGCAUAAAAUGCUUAAAUAGUUAUAUAGGGAAUUGUGAAUAUAAUUCUUUUUAGUGGAAGACAAUCUUUUAGAACCAUCCUCUAGCUUUUU
rnacentral:misc_RNA from 1 species